rnacentral:lncRNA from 1 species
GGCUCCGCUGCGCCGGUUAAAACAUUCUCCCAGGGGGCAUCUCUCUGUCCUUGGCCAGAUGGUCUCGACACGUGCGGGCACCUCUAACCCAGAAAGGGGCGAAGGACAAAAUCCAUCCGAGUUCCCUUGAGAUUACCAUAAUAUGAAGGCAUAAUUCCUCCAAAGUGCUACGCCAUACCUUUCUCUUGUGUACAUUCGGAAACAGAAGCCAUCUCUGACCCGCCCAGCUCUUCCCUGGCGCUGCAAAGCACUGGCUUUACUGACAAAUGUCUCCACCAAAGAACUCAUCUGACUGCUUUCAUGUUUUCAGUGCAGUAAGAAGAUACUGUAUAGGAUGGUUUGAAAUUAUAUUUGAAGCAUAGCUAAUCCAGAUGGUCAAGAAGGCUACUAAGACAAAUGCCACUGAUGCUGAGGACUGAGGAAUGAGUAUGAAAAGAAAAAGAGGAGGAAGAAACGGGAUGAAAAAAGGAGAAAAAAGCCGUCAUGUCAAGGCUCUCGCUCUGUUGACCAGGCUGGAGCGCAGUGGCGCUACCACAGCUCACUGCAGCCUUGACCUCCCAGGCUCAAGCAAUCCUCCACCUCAGCCUUGCAAGCAGAUGGGACUAUAGGACAGUGGCAUACUAUCACAUCUAUCAAAGAAAAUGUGAAAAGUGCCUGAAAUGUGCUACUGAUCAACCAAUAGCAGUGAAAACUCACAUACGGUACACAUUCCAUUUGGAUCACAAAAGCAAAGCCAAACAUCUCGGUAAGUGGGAGGAAGUAACUGAUGAACUGACUAAAGGAAAAACAGAGGUUGCAAUGGAGGUGAAAUAGUGGCUUGUAUUUGAGGAGACUGAAAUUUAGGCCUACUUUUAGGUUGCUGCUCUUCAAAUUCCUGACUGAAUCCUUCAGGAAGUGCAUCUUAAAAUAAAAGAAACUAUGUUGAAAAUAAACAGGCAUAUGAU